UACGUAGGGACCAAGCGUUGUUCGGAUUUACUGGGCGUAAAGGGCGCGUAGGCGGCGCGGUAAGUCACUUGUGAAAUCUCUGAGCUUAACUCAGAACGGCCAAGUGAUACUGCAGUGCUAGAGUGUGGAAGGGGCAAUCGGAAUUCUUGGUGUAGCGGUGAAAUGCGUAGAUAUCAGGAGGAACACCGAUGGCGAAGGCAGGUCUCUGGGCAUUAACUGACGCUGAGGAGCGAAAGCAUGGGGAGCGAACAGG
rnacentral:rRNA from 1 species